UGGAAAACAGGUUCACAUGGCCCCAAGAGUUUAGUUGUUUAUAUGAAAUGUGUACCAAGUCCUGCCAGGUAAAUGGGCUUUUAGGUUUUUAAGAACGUUGACGGAUUGGCCGAUGAAUCCAUUCAUUUCCUCACCGAAUCAAACAACUGAGCAGGGACUGUGCGCCGGGCCGACACCUCCCCGGGAUGCCGAGAGGAAUAAGGCGGUGCCCUGCGCUUGAGGGGUCUGGACUCUAAUGACAGGUGACACUCAGGAACCAGAUGCUUCCGCGGAGACGUUAGGAGCUGCAACAGAGGGAGGAGCCAGAGGAGGGGCGCCAGUUCUGCAGAAGAACACGGGACACUUUUGAGGGGGGCUUCUAAACCAGGGUGAUAACAGAAUGGCAAAAUACGGUGGCAGUUGUGUCACUGCGAAGAGGAAGCAGCUGGGACUUCCAUGCGUUGCUGGUGGGAGGCGCGGUGGCCACGACCUCGGCACUGCUUUGCCAGGUACCUGCUAAAGGUAAAUAUAGGGUCACGAUGUUCCCACGAGGCAGGAACCCCACUCCUGGGUGGACACCCCAGGUAGGUGUGUGCACAUGCCCGGCACGUGGCACUCACGAGAAUGCUCGUUGACGGUCUACUCACAACACUUAAAAACUGGACACAACCCAAGUUUCCAUUAAAUAAGUUGAGGUAUAUCCCUACGAUGGAAUCGUAUGCAGCAAUAAAGACGAAGCUACCAAACGAACUAACAAAUACACGGAACAGAACGUUAUCACUUAACGUCCCAGGACGCGUAAAGGACCCUCACGUUUGUUGGAAUUAGGAGCAGAUCGGCUGGGGCAGAGAUUUUCUUCCCAGAUGCUCUGGUUCCAGAAGGCAGAGGAGCAGGAAGGGCCCAGAACUGGGCAGAGACCGCGUGGAGCUCGUCUCGCACACAGCACGGUGAUGUGAAUUUUCUACAGUGAUGCCCGCUUUUUAAGCAUGAGCACCUACUUCAGAUUUUUUUCCAGGGAAGUUUUUUUAUUGACUUAUGAGCAUUUUCAAGCACGUCGAAAAGUACAGAAAAAAAUGUAAUAACCACCCUAAUACAUCCAUCAAUCCAGGUAACAAUUGGUAACAUUUUGUUAUAUUUGCUAUAUUAUUUUCCUGAGCCAGUCCUUUUUUGAAAAACCAUCUUAUUAUAGAAAGCUUGAAAAAUAUUGAAAAAGGGAGAGAGAGAGUCGUAUAGGGAGCUCCCAUGCCUCCAACCCCCAGCCUCAGUAGUUCCGAAGACGUGGCUAAUAUUGUUUCUGGCCUAUCGCCGCCUGUUUCCCCUCCUCCCACCCCAGAAUCACUUACAAACAAAUCUCAGAUACUGACAUCAUUUCAUGCACAACAUAUGAGUACACUUUUGCUUAAAGAAAGGACUGUUUGAAAUGUAACCACAAGACCGCUAUCAUACCUUCAAAAAUGAACAAUAACUUCUUACUAUCAAAUAUCAAGUCGGUGUUUACAAAUCAAGAGCCAAACAAAGUUCACAUACUGCAUAUUGCUGAUUUUUUAAAAAAUCUUUACAAAUCCAGAAGUUUCCUUCUUGGUUUUGUUUUUUUUUUCUUUUUGUUUUUGUUUUUGUUUUUUUGCAGUUCAUUUAUUGAAGUAAUCAGAUUGCUUCCCCUGGAUAUCAGUGCUUCUCACACUUUAGCAUGCAAAAGAAUUAACAAACAUGAAGAGCUUGUUAAAAUACAGAUCUCUGGGCCCAGCCUCAGAGAUUCCUGAUUAAGUAGUUCUGGGGUAUGGCCUGAGAAUUUGCAUUUCUCACAAGCUCCCCAGUGAUGCCGAUUGCCAGCCUGGGAACCCUUGCUGGAUGACACUGCCCUGGUUGCCCACUGUCCACACUUAGCUAGCUGCAUCCCCAGGGUGUCUGAGUAUUUUUCUCUGCUCAUUAUAUUUUUAAAAAACUUUUUAAUGUUUAUUUAUUUUUGAGAGACAGAGAGAGACAGAACGUGAGUGGGGAAGGGGCAGAGAGAGAGGGAGACACAGAACCCGAAGCAGGCUCCAGGCUCUGAGCCAUCAGCACAGAGCCCGAUGCGGAGCUUGAAUCCAUGAACCAUGAGAUCAUAACCUGAGCCAAAGUCGGACCUUAAGCGACUGAGUCACCAGGCGCCAUUCUGCUCAUUGUAUUUUUUAAAAUCCACGCUGGAUUCGGACAAAGUACUGUGUCCUUUCAUCAGGAGGCACAAUGUCUGGUCAUCUCAGAAACGUUAGCAGCCAUGAUCGUUCCUAGAUUUGUUAUUUCAUUGGGGGUUGCAAAACCAGUGACGCUCUAAUUGUAUUGUCCCCUUUUCAUUGAUUACCUUGUCUACUUCUCUAGACACAAACUUCCCUUCAUCAACUAUUUCAACACCCAAAGGGAGAGUUCAUACAGCAGUCAGGAUAAUCUUUGUCUUCAUUAACCUAUUUUCAAAAUAGUGAGUUGGUUCCCUAGCGUCCUGAGCAAACAAAGAGGUGGUUUUUGUUUGUUUUUAUCUAUUCUAAUGAAUUCAUGAACAGAAAUGUGUUUUUUAUGUUCAAUUUACUAAGUUUUUAUUAUUUUUAUUUUUAAUUUUUUGACAUUUAUUUAUUUGAGAGAGAGAGGUAGAGAGGCAGAAAGAGAGGGGGAGAGAGAGUCCCAAGGAGACUCCGUGCUGACAGUGAAGGUCCCGAAGUGGGGCUUGAACUCACCAACUGUGAGAUCAUGACCUGAGUCAAAAUCAAGACUCGGUUGCUUAACCAACUGAGCCACCCAGGUGCCCCAGUUAUUAUUAUUUUUAAAGUUUAUGUAUUUAUUUUGAGAGACUACAGGAGCACACACUCACGCACAUGCACACGUUGAGGAGAGGGACAGAGAGAGAGGGAGAGAGAGGACCUUAAGCAGGCUCCACACCUAGCCCAGAACCUGAUGCGGGGCUCGAUCCCAUGGCUGUGAGAUCAUAACCUGAGCCAAAACCAAGAGUCAGUCACUUAACCAUCUGAGCCACCCAGGCAUUCCACUAAGUUUUUAUUUUUGAUGUUCAAAUUAUUUUAUCUUUGACUAAUGGGGGCCUGGUCAGGUUAGCUCCUGGUUCCUUUUGGCUUGACUCCAGUGGUGUUUGAAAGCUUCCUUUUAUGAUAGGACAAGAUUUUCCAGGUUCACCUCCUAUAAUCCUUUUCCCAGGUCUGGAUUCCACCAUUUCUCCAAGGAGCCCUGGUGGCAUUUAAUGCACGUGGCCCUUGGAGACCGUAGUCUAGGCACUGGACACGUUCUUUAGUGAUUGGAUGGCCA
rnacentral:lncRNA from 1 species